rnacentral:rRNA from 1 species
AUUGAACGCUGGCGGCAUGCCUUACACAUGCAAGUCGAACGGCAGCACGGGAGCAAUCCUGGUGGCGAGUGGCGAACGGGUGAGUAAUAUAUCGGAACGUGCCCAGUAGUGGGGGAUAACUGCUCGAAAGAGCAGCUAAUACCGCAUACGACCUGAGGGCGAAAGGGGGGGAUCGCAAGACCUCUCGCUAUUGGAGCGGCCGAUAUCAGAUUGGCUAGUUGGUGGGGUAAAGGCCUACCAAGGCAACGAUCUGUAGUUGGUCUGAGAGGACGACAAGCCACACUGGGACUGAGACACGGCCCAGACUCCUACGGGAGGCAGCAGUGGGGAAUUUUGGACAAUGGGCGCAAGCCUGAUCCAGCAAUGCCGCGUGCAGGAAGAAGGCCUUCGGGUUGUAAACUGCUUUUGUCAGGGAAGAAAUCCUCUAGGUUAAUACCCUUGGGGGGAUGACGGUACCUGAAGAAUAAGCACCGGCUAACUACGUGCCAGCAGCCGCCGUAAUAC